UAAGGGAUAGUAAAAAUGGAAUUACAAAGGGUUUUGAUCCCUUAAUUAUAGGUUCAAUUCCUAUACCCUUAA
rnacentral:tRNA from 1 species